GAACUGGCUGGCUCCGCCCACUUAAUGUUUUGGCGCGAGAAGCAUAGAUUUGCUGGCGUGAACACACUUUCCUGAUUGGCUGCAUAAGGAUUCAGAUGUUGGGAGAAUAAGGUAUUUAAGAGCUUUUUUAUUUACAGCCUGUUUGCCUCUGACGAAGGUGCUGGCUUCACAGCACCGAAACGCGCGUCAGGCGUUUUAUUUUUAUUUUUUC